GAUGAACGCUGACAGAAUGCUUAACACAUGCAAGUCUUUGGCGAAGCUGUGCUUGCACAGCCUAGCCAAGGCGGACGGGUGAGUAACGCGUAAGGAACUUGCCCUGCAGUCAGGGAUAACAGACGGAAACGACUGAUAAGACCUGGUAAAGUCAGGCGGACUCAUGUCCAGCCUGAUGAAAAGAGAUGCUGCAGGAGAGCCUUGCGUCCUAUUAGCUUAUUGGUGGGGUAACGGCCCACCAAGGCGAUGAUAGGUAGCCGGCCUGAGAGGGUGGACGGCCACAAGGGGACUGAGAUACGGCCCUUACUCCUACGGGAGGCAGCAGUGGGGAAUAUUGGACAAUGGGGGCAACCCUGAUCCAGCAAUUCUGUGUGCACGAUGAAGGUUUUCGGAUUGUAAAGUGCUUUCAGCAGGGAAGAAAAAAAUGACGGUACCUGCAGAAGAAGCGACGGCUAAAUACGUG
rnacentral:rRNA from 1 species